rnacentral:lncRNA from 1 species
GCAGAUGAAGGUUCAUUCCAUCCUCUCUCUCAUGGGAAAAAAAAAAAAAGUUCCUGAGGGAUCUUUCAUAAUGAAAAAUGAACGCGUCUCUUUCUACACUGAAUAAGCAGCUCAUAUGAAGACUUCUGUCUGAAAACUGUGAGAGUCCAAGGGAUGAAAUCUGAACCCACCCUCCACCCCUUCCCCCAAUCUCUCUGGUCUUUGCUGCUAGCAACCCGCUUCCAUUGCUCCACAGAAGCGCUGUGCCUGUAGAUCAGAUUGUGAGGGUGAAAUCCUUGUUCAAACUGCUAGGGGAGAUUUCAGUUUUGUUAAGGUCUUCCUACAGUGUGCUCUGGCAAAAAUACUUUUCCUUUGCUGGGCUGUGGGAUAUCAUGCAUACCUGUAAUCCCACAUCACUC